AUGCUCGCCGACGACAACCCCGCCCGCAUCCAGCGCCACGACGGCCCCUACCCGGUAUCGCGCAAAACAUUGACGACUGGUACGCCUUCUGGGAAGGGUGUACCUUCAAAGAUGUCAUCGCCGCAUGUCGCGCACAGCUCGACCUGGACGAGGCCCACCAAGUUUUUGUGUCGUGCUCCACGCCUGGAGGAGGAGGAGGUAGCGACGGGGCCAUCCGGGCCAAUCCUUACACGUGCUCUGCGAUGCGCCUCCGCGUCCCUAACCCAGAGCAGGGGACGAGUUCUGCAACGCACGGCGGUGGUCUGCGUGUGCCUAAGCCGGAGCCAGGGACGAGCUCGCGCUGUGGCCUGCUUGUGCCUAAGCCCGAGCCGGGGACGAGCUCAUGCACCCCCUACUCAUGUCAAAGCCGGAGCCUAG
rnacentral:rRNA from 1 species